AUUGAACGCUGGCGGCAUGCCUUACGCAUGCGAGUCGAACGGCAGCACGGGUGCUUGCACCUGGUGGCGAGUGGCGAACGGGUGAGUAAUACAUCGGAACGUACCUUAUCGUGGGGGAUAACGCAGCGAAAGUUGCGCUAAUACCGCAUACGCCCUGAGGGGGAAAGCGGGGGACCGUAAGGCCUCGCGCGAUUAGAGCGGCCGAUGUCUGAUUAGCUUGUUGGUGAGGUAAAAGCUCACCAAGGCGAUGAUCAGUAGCUGGUCUGAGAGGACGAUCAGCCACACUGGGACUGAGACACGGCCCAGACUCCUACGGGAGGCAGCAGUGGGGAAUUUUGGACAAUGGGGGCAACCCUGAUCCAGCAAUGCCGCGUGAGUGAAGAAGGCCUUCGGGUUGUAAAGCUCUUUUGUCAGGAAGAAACAGCAGCUCUAACACAGUCUGCGAAUGACGGUACCUGAAGAAUAAGCACCGGCUAACUACGUGCCAGCAGCCGCAGUAA
rnacentral:rRNA from 1 species